UACGAAGGGGGCUAGCGUUGAUCGGAAUCACUGGGCGUAAAGCGCACGUAGGCGGCAUCUUAAGUUAGGGGUGAAAUCCCAGGGCUCAACCCUGGAACUGCCUUUAAUACUGGCAAUCUCGAGUCCGAGAGAGGUGAGUGGAAUUCCGAGUGUAGAGGUGAAAUUCGUAGAUAUUCGGAGGAACACCAGUGGCGAAGGCGGCUCACUGGCUCGGUACUGACGCUGAGGUGCGAAAGCGUGGGGAGCAAACAGG
rnacentral:rRNA from 1 species